UUUAAGAGCUGACUACCACUGGGGAAGGAUCUCUUUUGGAGAUUGCUUCUUUUGGAGUCUUCUCAGUGACUCCAGAACAAGGGGAGUAGCAUUCAACCAGUGGAACAUGCGGAUGUUCAGCCUUCAUGUGAACAAGACCUUGUUGCCCUUUCUUAUGCAGGAAGGCAUAUGAAGGAAGGCAGUUCCAGGCUCUGGACUUCAUCUCAAUGGUGGUUUUAGCCAUCAGAACAAGACCUAAAGGGCUCAGGAUGUGCAUGCUGUGAGCUGGGGCCCGAAUCCUAUGCUGAAGCCCUCCACAUUAACCUGGAGCUGUCAGAUAGAGCUACACAAUCGAACAAAAGUGUAAUGCUGAGCUAUUGGGCAAUUCCAAGAGAUACAGCAAUGAAAAGAGUACUGAAAGAACAAAAAUAUGCACAGUGACCUGAGAGCACUUGCAUAUUCUUUUGAAAACAAAGAGCUUUCCUUCUCAUUUUUUUUUUCCUCCCUUUAUUUAGAGAGUGAAUAUUCUUAAAAUUCAUUUUUAAUAGAUCUAUUACACCAGUUGGGUCUCUCUAAUAUGCAGUAGAAGAUUCAGCAUUUGAAAUACCACAGAAGGAUAUUAGCUAACUGAGGGCUAAGAAUGUCACACAGACGUCUGUUUAUCAUGCAAGUAGUUUAUUUAGAUGCAAAGAUGUAUUAGACUCUAAUGAUUAAGUGAAAAACGGGAGUUGCUUUGUAUCUGUCUUUCAGAGCACAUCACCAGAACUUCAAUGUCUUUUCUCCAUUAGUUCAGAAAGCAAUACUGAAGUAAGCAACAGAAAUGAGGGCCGCCAACGGUGUAUAGAAAGGAGACUUGAUUUCUCAUACAGUAGUAGAGAAUGGGCUGCAGAAGAACAGAUGCUUUUAAAUCAGCAGAGCAUUGUGCAAACAGCUGUUAACCAGACACAGCAUCUAAUUCCACCGAUUGUACCCUUAAUUUUGCUGCUGCCAUGCAGUUUCAGCGUGACAUUUAGAAAGACGUCUCAGCUGGUUUAUGUAGUACUUUGUAAGCCCUGCUUUGCAGGCAGGUAACUGACAGAUAUUACCUUUCAGUUCCAGGAAAUAAUACAGAUUUUAACCUUUUGUGGAAUGUGAGUGGGGUCUCACUAAACCUUAAACCUAAACUACUUCCUGACCUUUUCACAAUCCCACAACUAUUAUUUUUCUCUCUAAAUUAUGCUCUGCAUUUGCACAUCGCUUUUGUUUAUUACUGUUCCUGCAGGUGACUUCAUCAUCCUAAUAUGUGGUGUAAGGGUCUUGCUUUUGUAGCUAACCACUGAUAGCAUGCAGAAAGCAGGACCUCCAUUCAGAGAUGGGUCAGAUGGUCAAGUGUCAGACCAGCACAAAGUCAACAGUGGAGCACUAUGCAGCACAGGUAUUUCAGCUCCUGGAAAACAUGUCAUUUAUUCAUACUAGAGCAAGUUAUUUCUGAAGGUAGAAAAUGAAAGCAGGAAUCUUUUCCUUGUCAAAAAUAGGCUUUUGAAUGGUGCAAGCACCUGCAAAUACACACACACACACACACACACACACACACACACACACACACACACA